AAUGUGAAUUGCAUAAUUCAGUGAAUCAUCGAAUCUUUGAACGCACCUUGCACCUUUUGGUUAUUCCGAAAGGUACACCUGUUUGAAUGUCACGAAACCCCCCUCGGCUCUAAUGCUUUCUAAAAGGAUUAGAGACGGAUUCUGAGUGU
rnacentral:rRNA from 1 species